rnacentral:lncRNA from 1 species
CGCCCCUUCCCGUGGUGCAGCGCGGCCGGCGGCGGCAGUAGCCGCCGCGACUCCAUCCGGGUCCCGCGGUGCUCCGGGUCACCCUGCGGCAGACUAACUUGAAGGCCCGGAAGUGCCGCCCCCGGGCGCUCCUGAGUGGUCGGUUACGCUCGCCGCCCGCCGGGGAUAGGCCGCGGAUGCCGUCAGCGGCUGGCUCUGUUUUCAAGAUGUCUUUGCUAAGAAGGGGACUGUAAGUCACAUCUGUCUGGCAAGUAUUUAGAUUUCAAUAUAUUAUUAUUUU